ensembl:lncRNA
UCCCUAUUGGAGGACAGGAUUAUGAUGAGUUCUACCAAUGACUACCUGUUGGUGUAAAGUGUCAUUGUAAGGAUAAGCAGCGAUAUGCUUUGAUGAUCAUUGUUGAUGGUUCUUCACUCUCCCCACUGAUGUGUUCUUGAUGCUACAUUCUGCAGGAAUGGAACGCAGAUUGACUUCCUGGCUGUGGAUGAGAACUUUGUGAUGCAGGGGUUCAUCAACCUGGAGACCAUUAAGACCAUCAAACCACUGGAAAGAAGGAUGGCGGAUGCUGGAAAUAAAGAGUCAGCGCCGAUUGGAGGAGAUGAAUUUACCAACACAGAGUUGGAGAAUAACAAGAAUAACACGAUGGUGGAGGAAGGAUCCACUCUGCUGCGGAGAAUGGAGAUCAGUGUGGCCGAGGCAGAGAAAAGAACUGGGAAAAAUACAGUGAACAUGCAAGAGAUAUUCACAGUGUACCUCAUAGAAACUCGACCCAUAGAUGCAAUAACAGAAGGCCAUAACCCAGCCCCAGACUCUCUCUGGAGGAGAUACAGUGARUUUGAGAUCCUCCGGAACUAUUUGUUAGUCACCUAUCCAUUUAUCGUGGUGCCGCCUUUGCCAGAGAAGAGGGCAGAGUUUGUUUGGCACAAGCUGUCUGCAGACAACAUGGACCCAGACUUUGUAGAGAGGCGCAGGGUUGGUCUGGAGAACUUUCUACUUCGCGUGGCCUCCCAUUCGGUUCUGUCCAAUGACAAAAUCCUAUACCACUUCCUGACUGAGGAACACAGGUKGAAGGAGGUGGUGUAUGAGACAGGGUUCCAAGCCAAGGUUGACAUUUGUCUUCCUCUAUCUAGGCGGUUCACAGAGAUGAAACACUACAGCGAUGAGCUUCAGUCUCUCACCUCCCAGCUGCUCAGAGUCAGAGCAAGAGUAGCAGACAGGCUCUACGGCGUAUACAAAGUCCAUGGGAACUACGGAAGAGUAUUCAGUGAGUGGAGUGCCUUAGAGAAGGAGAUGGGAGAUGGUCUACAGAGUGCAGGACACCAUAUGGAUGCCUAUGCUGCCUCAGUAGAUGAUAUGUUGGAGGAAGAGGAGCACUACGCAGACCAACUGAAGGAAUACCUUUUCUAUGCUGAAGCCUUAAGGGCUGUGUGUAGGAAACACGAGCUGACCCAGUAUGAGCUGGAGACGGCCUCCUCAGACCUCAUCUCCAAGAAGCAGCAACGGGAGGAGCUGGCCACUGGGGCUCUACUGUCGUCCAGGCUCUACUCUGUUGGUCAGGAGACACCAGAGCAGAGGAGGCUAAACUCAGCCUACAGAGGAGCAGACGUCCAGGGAGAGGAGACGGUCACAGAGAAAACAGUGGAGUGCGAGGAGUAUGUGAAGGGUGCGUGGGUGGACAUGCAGGAGGCUCUGAUUGGCUACGCCGUCAUGCAGAUCAGCAUGUGUAAGAAGGGCAUUCAAGUGUGGACCAAUGCUAAGGAAGGUUUCCACAAGAUGUAAGGGGGUCGGGCCGUGGGUCAGCGAGCGACGUCUAUGGUACGGUGUACAAAAACUUCAACCUUUGACCUUCACAUGGAAACAGAACCACUGUUGUCAUGGCAACAAGCCCCAGCUGACAUGAGUUACAGGGCUGCGUCUCAGUACUCAUCCAAUACUGGCUGCAUCUCAGUACUCAGUCCAAUACUGGCUGAGUCUCAGUACUCAGUCCAAUACUGGGUGUGUCUCAGUACUCAGUCCAAGCCUUUCAAGACAUGAGAUGCAGUCCGGGACUAUUUUAUAAUGAGAUAUAAGGCACAAACAUAUCCCUUGUGUUGGUUUAUUAAGAAACGUGUGUGUAGUAUCAGCAGGAUAAAGGUGUUUUAUUAAGAGAACGGUGUGGUAGUAUCAGCAGGAUAAAGGUUUGAUGGUGAGAGAACAUGUGUGUAGUAUCAGCAGGAUAAAGGUUGUUAUUAAGAGAACGUGUGUGUAGUAUCAGCAGGAUAAAGGUUGUUUAUUAAGAGGACGUGUGUGUAGUAUCAGCGGAUAAAGGUUGUUUAUAAGAGAACGUGUGUGUAGUAUCAGCAGGAUAAAGGUUGUUAUUAAGAGAACGUGUGUGUAGUAUCAGCAGGAUAAAGGUUGUUUAUUAAGAGGACGUGUGUGUAGUAUCAGCAGGAUAAAGUUGUUUAUUAAGAGAACGUGUGUGUAGUAUCAGCAGGAUAUAGGUUGUUUAUAAGAGGAGUGUGUGUAGUAUCAGCAGGAUAAAGGUUGUUUAUUAAGAGAACGUGUGUGUAGUAUCAGCAGGAUAAGGUUGUAUGGUGAGAGUGUACACAUGGGGGAUGUGGGAAACUUACUCCUCAGCCUGGAGUGCCACCACUUGUGGCAGCCGAGUUGUUAACGCUUCGAUGGCGCCGACUGUAGAACGCUUCGGGAGGGCGGUCACGUGGCUAGCGAAGCAGAUGUCCUGGGUUCGAGCGCCGUGUGAGCCCGAUCAGGAGAGACGGUACUCCGCUAAGUAAGCAGCUGACGUCAGUUAUCAGAAUGCUGCUGUUACCUUGGUUACCUCUAUGAACUGAACUGAAAAAAAACUGAAUCAACUGUCAAAGGACUUCUGGCCUUUUCUCUGCUUAAAGCACAUGAUAUCAUAAUGUCUGGUAUGUGAAUAUGAAUAAGAUAUAUUUUCAGAAAAUGUCAAGGUACAUGUAAUAAAGAAUAUUAUAUACUUUGACGUGUCCA